AGCGAACGCUGGCGGCAGGCCUAACACAUGCAAGUCGAACGAAGUCUUCGGACUUAGUGGCGGACGGGUGAGUAACACGUGGGAACGUGCCUUUAGGUUCGGAAUAACUCAGGGAAACUUGUGCUAAUACCGAAUGUGCCCUUCGGGGGAAAGAUUUAUCGCCUUUAGAGCGGCCCGCGUCUGAUUAGCUAGUUGGUGGGGUAAUGGCCCACCAAGGCUACGAUCAGUAGCUGGUCUGAGAGGAUGACCAGCCACAUUGGGACUGAGACACGGCCCAAACUCCUACGGGAGGCAGCAGUGGGGAAUCUUGCGCAAUGGGCGUAAGCCUGACGCAGCCAUGCCGCGUGGAUGAUGAAGGUCUUAGGAUUGUAAAAUCCUUUCACCGGUGAAGAUAAUGACUGUAGCCGGAGAAGAAGCCCCGGCUAACUUCGUGCCAGCCACCGCGGUAAAAC
rnacentral:rRNA from 1 species